rnacentral:rRNA from 1 species
GACGCACCGUCCUAACGUUGUUCGGAAUCACUGGGCUUAAAGGGCGCGUAGGCGGCCUUGAAAGUCGGGGGUGAAAUCCCACGGCCUAACCGUGGAAGUGCCUCCGAUACUGCAAGGCUCGAGGGAGGUAGGGGCAGCUGGAACUUCCGGUGGAGCGGUGAAAUGCGUUGAUAUCGGAAGGAACGCCGGUGGCGAAAGCGAGCUGCUGGACCUCUGCUGACGCUGAGGCGCGAAAGCCAGGGGAGCAAACGGG